GAGUUUGAUUCUGGCUCAGAUUGAACGCUGGCGGCAUGCUUUACACAUGCAAGUCGAACGGCAGCACGGAAGAGCUUGCUCUUUUGGUGGCGAGUGGCGAACGGGUGAGUAACGCAUCGGAACGUACCGAGUAGUGGGGGAUAACUGUCCGAAAGGAUGGCUAAUACCGCAUAUUCUCUGAGGAGGAAAGCAGGGGACCUUCGGGCCUUGCGCUAUUUGAGCGGCCGAUGUCUGAUUAGCUAGUUGGUGGGGUAAAGGCCUACCAAGGCGACGAUCAGUAGCGGGUCUGAGAGGAUGAUCCGCCACACUGGGACUGAGACACGGCCCAGACUCCUACGGGAGGCAGCAGUGGGGAAUUUUGGACAAUGGGGGGAACCCUGAUCCAGCCAUGCCGCGUGUCUGAAGAAGGCCUUCGGGUNGUAAAGGACUUUUGUCAGGGAAGAAAAGCUUGAGAUUAAUACCCUUGAGUGAUGANCGUACCUAAGA
rnacentral:rRNA from 1 species